AGGCCAUUGUUGUUCAGCCAAGGAUGACUUGCCGGUAGCUUUGUAUAUAACUUUACUCUAUAUUCGGUUUAUAUUAUGGAGAUUAUGCUUUAUAUAUAUAUCUACAUAGUUUUAAUUGAUUUUUUUUCGUACGUAAUAUAAAUAUAUAAUACGAAAAAGUAAUUACUUAUCUAUAUAUGUGUGUUGGGGUGAGAUGUGUAACAAAGCAAGCCCGGCAAAUCAUCUCUGGCUAUGCAACUGCCUCU